GGUUCCUCACUGCAGCUGAGAGUUUGGUGGCAGCGUCCGUGUCUGUGUUUCGCGGAUGUCCAGGAAUCCAAGCUCCAGGGAAGACCAGCAAGCUGCACAAUAAUCUGGAGCUCUUGCAAAAGCAGCCUGCCUCUGCAGAGACCAAGAAACAGCACCCGCUGUGCCCGUUUUCUUCCUUCUCAUCUCGUUACUGCUCAGACACUAGGAAAGAGCUGGGAGCUGCCUGGCAGAUCUGAGCAGGAGUGGGGCAGGUCUCCACAUCAGCAACCCGAGGUCUCCAGCCUCCCUUUGGCCACCUCAUUCGAUGUGCUGACCUGCUCCUGGGCUUUGAUGUUACUAGUAUGUUAUGGAACCUAUGAUGUCAGCUUUCCUCAAAGGAGGAGAUCCGAUCCUCUACCAAUAUCUGCUUUGAUUUGUCAGACAUUCGUUGGUCAUAGCUUCUUCCAAGGAACAAGCUUAUUUAACUUAUAUGCAGAGUACAUCAUGCAAAAUGCCAGGCUGGAUGAAGCACAAGCUGGAAUCAAGAUUGCUGGGAGAAAUAUCAAUAACCUCAGAUAUGCAGCUCACAUCACCCUUAUGGAAGAAAG
ensembl:lncRNA